rnacentral:misc_RNA from 1 species
ACACCUCAACUCUCAUGGUUUGCCAUGACGAGCUUGGACUUUGGGGGUUUGCCGGCCUACGGUCGGCUCCCCUUAAAUGGAUCAGCUUGCCGGUGUUUCGGUGGGAUCCCAGGUGUGAUAACCAUCUACGCUUGUGGCUUCCCGUCGAGCGACCCUCAGCGAUGAGGGUUCGCCGGGGCUCAUAAACGUCUCUCUCGCGGAGACAGUUCUUUGAA